GGGAACAUACCCUUUUCUACGGAAUAGCUCUGGGAAACUGGAAUUAAUACCGUAUACGCCCUACGGGGGAAAGAUUUAUCGGGGAAGGAUUGGCCCGCGUUGGAUUAGCUAGUUGGUGGGGUAAAGGCCUACCAAGGCGACGAUCCAUAGCUGGUCUGAGAGGAUGAUCAGCCACAUUGGGACUGAGACACGGCCCAAACUCCUACGGGAGGCAGCAGUGGGGAAUAUUGGACAAUGGGCGCAAGCCUGAUCCAGCCAUGCCGCGUGAGUGAUGAAGGCCUUAGGGUUGUAAAGCUCUUUCACCGAUGAAGAUAAUGACGGUAGUCGGAGAAGAAGCCCCGGCUAACUUCGUGCCAGCAGCCGCGGUAAUACGAAGGGGGCUAGCGUUGUUCGGAAUUACUGGGCGUAAAGCGCACGUAGGCGGAUAUUUAAGUCAGGGGUGAAAUCCCAGAGCUCAACUCCGGAACUGCCUUUGAUACUGGGUAUCUUGAGUAUGGAAGAGGUAAGUGGAAUUGCGAGU
rnacentral:rRNA from 1 species